GACGAACGCUGGCGGCGUGCUUAACACAUGCAAGUCGAACGGAAAGGCCCUGCUUGCAGGGUACUCGAGUGGCGAACGGGUGAGUAACACGUGGGUGAUCUGCCCUGCACUUCGGGAUAAGCCUGGGAAACUGGGUCUAAUAUCGGAUAGGAGCCAUUUUUAGUGUGAUGGUUGGAAAGUUUUUUUCGGUGUAGGAUGAGCUCGCGGCCUAUCAGCUUGUUGGUGGGGUAAUGGCCUACCAAGGCGGCGACGGGUAGCCGGCCUGAGAGGGUGGACGGCCACAUUGGGACUGAGAUACGGCCCAGACUCCUACGGGAGGCAGCAGGGGGGAAUAUUGCACAAUGGGCGCAAGCCGGAUGCAGCGACGCCGCGUGGGGGAUGACGGCCUUCGGGUUGUAAACGCCUUUCGCUAGGGACGAAGCUUUUUGUGACGGUACCUAGAUAAGAAGCACCGGCUAACUACGUG
rnacentral:rRNA from 1 species